CAGCGCAGAUAAAAAGGGGGAGGAGUGAAGGAGAUAAAGAUCAAAUGUUGGUUUCCUCUGCCAAAUAAAUACACAAAUUUCUGCCCAAACAGCCCUGUAAACUGGAUUUUGGAGGUUGGGUGGGAGUGGGCAGCAGCAGCUCCCUCAGCCUGAUGCCCAGUGUGAUGUGUAAGCAGUUAAUGAGCAGCAGGGACAGCCAGAAGCCUGAGCUAUUGUAUGAAAAAUAGCCCUGCACCGUGGUUAUUUUAGGGAGCAGGCAUGUGCUCCAGGAUUUGCUGGAUAAAUGUCACUCUCUAAAAUUUAACACGGCCCAGCAGUGGGUUUGGGCUGUGGAAAAAGGCAUUUCAGUGCUGCAGCAAAUAAAAAAAAAAGAAAGAUUGAAGAGCUUGCCUGCCUUCUGACACACUCCCACGUGGUGUUACCUGCGUGUCCAUCUUGAACCUUCCUUACUUCAGCCCUUUCCCCUUGAAAUUCUGCACCAAAGCACCUGAAUUCCAGCCUGUGUCUGCUCAUGAAUCCCAUUUUUCACUGAAAUGGAACAUUCUGUGUGCAUUCCUAAAGAUGCCUUCCUGUAGCUGCCGAUUCAGUGGAAUAUUAUGGAAAGCACAAGGGACACUUUGAAGCUAGCAAAAGACAGCCACGAGAAUGCCAAGAUUCUCAUCCAGAACCCUGAACAGACAAUUUUAAGCUCCAACCAGCACUCCUGGACGAGUGUUUAAAGGUGAGGAUUGAUACCUAACUUUAAAAUUUGCUUAUUUCCUAAGGAAACCCCAGGUUAAUUACGUAUCGUGCUGUGUUUAGGAAGCACCUACAGAGCUCGAAUAAUUGAACCACCAAAAAGUUCAGCGU